CAGUCGCCGCGGUAACACGAAGGGUGCAAGCGUUACUCGGAAUUACUGGGCGUAAAGCGUGCGUAGGUGGUGGUUUAAGUCCGUUGUGAAAGCCCUGGGCUCAACCUGGGAAUUGCAGUGGAUACUGGGUCACUAGAGUGUGGUAGAGGAUAGUGGAAUUUCCGGUGUAGCAGUGAAAUGCGUAGAGAUCGGAAGGAACAUCUGUGGCGAAGGCGACUAUCUGGGCCAACACUGACACUGAGGCACGAAAGCGUGGGGAGCAAAUAGGAUUAGAUACCCCUGUAGUCCCUGUCUCUUAUAC
rnacentral:rRNA from 1 species